rnacentral:rRNA from 1 species
GAUGAACGCUGGCGGCGUGCCUAAUACAUGCAAGUCGAGCGAACGGACGAGAAGCUUGCUUCUCUGAUGUUAGCGGCGGACGGGUGAGUAACACGUGGAUAACCUACCUAUAAGACUGGGAUAACUUCGGGAAACCGGAGCUAAUACCGGAUGAUAUUUUGAACCGCAUGGUUCAAAAGUGAAAGACGGUCUUGCUGUCACUUAUAGAUGGAUCCGCGCUGCAUUAGCUAGUCGGUAAGGUAACGGCUUACCAAGGCAACGAUGCAUAGCCGACCUGAGAGGGUGAUCGGCCACACUGGAACUGAGACACGGUCCAGACUCCUACGGGAGGCAGCGGUAGGGAAUCUUCCGCAAUGGGCGAAAGCCUGACGGAGCAACGCCGCGUGAGUGAUGAAGGUCUUCGGAUCGUAAAACUCUGUUAUUAGGGAAGAACAUAUGUGUAAGUAACUGUGCACAUCUUGACGGUACCUAAUCAGAAAGCCACGGCUAACUACGUG